CGGCGUUUUCACGGGCGAUUAAAUCUGAGCUCUAGUCCCUGGUUCCCCGUGCUGACCGCGUCAUCACAGCGAACCACACUGGAGUCAACGGCGCCCUCCUCCCUCUCCUCUGCGCCCGCCGAUGCGGGCCGCGUCUUCGUGUCCUCGGCCAUGCUGCCAGCGGCAGCGAUGCGGUCUGGCGUCUGUGCCGUCGGAGUUCCCGUCUUCUCCCCUGCAUCGCGAGCGCAGUGCCGGCCUGCCUACGUCGGGGUUGCUCGCCACAUGGCCGACCCGGAGGUGGAGACGCUGUGACCAGAUUCAUGUAUAGCCAUCUCUCUGGAAUUCUGGAGUGGCCUGUGGACGAGCAGGAGUAGUUGUCUCACUUCUCAAGUUUCUACUGCAGACCGUCCGCAGAAGACGCCGAUAUAGAUCCAUCGCCAGCGUAUAUCCUUUUUGCAAGUUAUGGGUACCUGCAUGCGUCCCUCCCAAUUACAACCAGAAUUUCUAUAACAUACUAGAUGUGAUGGCUUCAGAAAUCAGGCGAUUCAGACAGAGAUGUCGGUGACAGCUGGAGGCUUCCAACAUCUCGCCAAAACAAACUGCCGAGUGCCUACUGCCUAACAAAGUAAGUUGGGAAUCAAAUUUGUGAGAUGGUCAGUGGACGUAUUACCAUAUGUUUCAAAUUCUAAUGUACGUAUUCAUUCCCUACACCUAUAAUUACUUGGCCUACCACUUGCAAGCUGAAUGUGCUUUCCAAUUCGAACCCAUGUGUGACCUAAAAACUAGAAAAAGUUCGAUUUGCUAAACAUCUUCAUUUGUUUUAGCUACGUUCACUGUACAUUUACCAAUGGUUUAGACGAUAGUUAGUUCAGAACAGUCUCAGUGUUCGAAAUUGAUUCAUUAUUGUUUGCAGUUUUUAGGAUACAAGAUUUUGAACGCAGCAGUUUUAGUUCUGCUUUCUCCCAUAUUAGACUCUUCGAUUGAAUUAGUUAGCUCCUUCUGUGCUGAUAUAUUAGGUUUCAGAUUUUGUAAAUGUCUACAGGUUGUCGGACAAGUCUUUCAGACAUUCAUCUAAUCCACAGGUUCACAAAAACUUCGGGUCCCUUACAAUUGGUUUGCUCUGCUGUUUUCAUCUGUCAUGUAAAUGAAUGCAUUCCCAAACAAAUAAUGCCAAUGAACUAGACUCAUUGCUGAGUGUAUCACGUCACUUCAAAAGGAAGAAUUUGGCUCAACUGCGAUUAAUCUUUAGUGAAAAGAGAGAGUAAAACAAGGAUUGGGAACCUCCUGUUGUCCUUUAAUUCAUGUUGUCAAUAUUCUAUAGGAUCCUUGCACUGCCUCCUGUCCGGGCGAUCAAUUUAUUGAGUCUAUGGUUGCUAUAGCCAAUGGCUACUACAUGAUCGAUAUGGCACUGCAGGGUGAACGUGCCGCAAUACCUCAUGCGCUCUCAGGUUUCCCAAGCUUUGUGUUCUACUACCCUUGUAAGUACUAAUACAAGUCGUAUUAACUGCACGAAGCCCCCAUAGCGGCCAGAUAAUCUCUGCCUCUAUCGAUAUCGACAUGAUCCAUAACAUCUCAUAAGAAAACUAGCCUUUUGUGUGUCUGUCAUUCGACAUUUCUAUUUAUCAGAUUAUUAUAUGAUUUAGGGAGCAGAUAAGAACCAGCUAGGUGGUUUGCAUCGCCUAAAGUGCCACCCUGCAGCAAGCAUGCAUUAACUACAUUUACAUCAACCACCACGAGUAUAUCGGUUGCUCUUAUAGAAGCUUUACACAUAAUUAGUUGAUGAUUCCUAUUUUGAUUUUGUAUGUUAUUUCUUCCGAGUAAACACAAACUGUUAGAUUAUCUACGUGGUAGCAUGCGGUGUGUGCGAGCGCCCUCUUAUCUAAUACAUUAGAGUAGGAACUACAAGAAAAAUAUUAGCAAACUUAAUUACCAUACUAUUUGUACAUAGAUUGAAAAUAGGAUGCAUAAUCUUUAUCUAGAAUUUAAAAUGAUUUUAGCUUCCUCCAAUUUCAGUAUGGUCGCAUUGUUUCACAUUUUGACUGCUCCUGCUAUUGCAAGCUAGACUUGAAUUUUGGCUUCUAUAGGUAUGCAUAAUUGAUUCACCUCUCCAUAGGUUUCUACCUCUCUUAAUUCCUCUUCCUAUUGCCACAUAACUACAUCAUUUCUUUGGGGGAAAAUCAACAUAUAGAUACAUUGUUUUUGUACUGAUCUUCCAUUGAUUUUAUAUACUAUUCCUACUAUUGUCUCUCUGUGCAAUGCGCAUGCUCUUCUAUUUUCUUUUGGACCGAUUAUUUCAUUUUGGUUUUCUUGCCAUGCUUGGUUAAUUAACUAGAAUACAUUAAUUAGGAAUUACCCAGUCUUCUGCUAUAUGUUGACUUGCAUAGACGGCUUAAUACAUAAGCUAAACCGAUGACUACAUAUAGCACAUACAUUGGGUCAUUUCUCCUAAGAAGGUUAAGCCACCUGAACUUUUAGCUUUAGUUACAAAGAAGUUGCUGAAUGAUCUAACAUUUUUGGGGUUUUACUAAAUCUAAUUCUAAAACAUGUACCAAUGUCAUAUAAUAUUUUUAUUUCUUAGCUUAACAUAUACCUUUCAGUUUCAUACCAUAUUUUUGUAAUGUACUCCCUCCGUAUCAAAAUAUAAGAGGUUGGAUUAUUGGUUUCUGCAGGUUUUAGUUUCAUACCAUAUUUUUGUGAGUCACAGCUUAAAAAGACAAAUAUGUGCUAGCUAGGGACAUGAACUUAACUGAAAUUAUAGAUUGAGUCACAGCUUAAAUCAAGAAGCUUUUAGUACAUGUACUUGUGCUUAUGCUUAAGACAUUUACUUGUGAAACUGUUCUGAUCCCUCAGUUACAUGCUUGCUAACACAGUAUCACUCCAGUUAGUCUAGCGAUAGUUCUUUUUAACAAUGGUGCUGGAAUAAUUGUAUGGCAUAUGUUAUGUGGGACUCAUGAACUAGAACUAUUUUUUUUAUUUCUUGAUUGCAGGAUCCAAAGAACUAGCUCGACUGGACUCUAGAUCAUGGACAAUUAGUCUUGGCACUUAAUUAGUUUGACUAAAUUACAUUUGAGUUUCAUUUGAUGGAUAUUUGCUAUGAGAAUUAUGAAUCUACAUAUUAUACA